UGGCAAACGGGUGAGUAACGCGUGAAUAACCUGCCUUUGAGAAGAGGAUAACUGUCCGAAAGGAUAGCUAAUACCCUAUAUUGCCUUUUGUCACUAAGGCAAAAGGUGAAAGCGAGGCUGUCAAAGGCUUCGGCUCAAAGAGGGGUUCGCGUCCUAUCGGGUAGUUGGUGGGGCAAUGGCCUACCAAGCCAAUGACGGGUAGCUGGUCUUAGAGGAUGAUCAGCCACAGUGGGACUGAGACACGGCCCGCACCCCUACGGGGGGCAGCAGUGGGGAAUCGUGGGCAAUGGGCGCAAGCCUGACCCCGCAAGCCGUGUGAGGGAAGAAGCCCUUCGGGGUGUAAACCUCUGUCAGAUGGGAAGAUAGGACUAGGGGCUAAUACCUCCUGGUCUUGACGGUACCAUCAGAGGAAGGGACGGCUAACUACGUGCCAGCAGCCGCGGUAAUACGUAGGUCCCGAGCGUUGCGCAAUGCUACUGGGCGUAAAGCGUCCGUAGCUGGUUUCGUAAGCGGAUUGUCAAAGCCCGAAGCUCAACUUCGGCAAGGCAUUCCGAACUGCGUUACUUGAGUCCUGUUCAGGUAGGCGGAAUUCCCGGUGUAGCGGUGAAAUGCGUAGAUAUCAGGAGGAACACCAGUGGCGAAGGCGGCCUACUGGGACGGUACUGACGGUCAUGGACGAAAGCUGGGGGAGCAAACCGGAUUAGAUACCCGGGUAGUCCCAGCCGUAAACGAUGGAUGUUAGGUGUAGUGAUAACUUUGCUGCACCCCAGCUAACGCGUUAAACAUCCCGCCUGGGGAGUACGGGCGCAAGCCUGAAACUCAAAGGAAUUGGCGGGGGCCCGCACAACCGGUGGAGCGUCUGGUUUAAUUCGAUGCUAACCGAAAAACCUUACCAGGGUUUGAAAUGGUAGGAAAGGCUGUCGAAAGAUAACCGUGUUUCCCUUCUGGGAGAAAUCCUACCACAGGUGGUGCAUGGCCGUCGUCAGCUCGUGUUGUGAGAUGUUGGGUUAAGUCCCGCAACGAGCGCAACCCUUGUCCUUAUUUGCUUCCUCGUAUGAGGUGCUCUAUAAGGAGACUGCCGGCGACAAGCCGGAGGAAGGAGGGGACGACGUCAGGUCAGUAUGCCCUUUAUGCCCUGGACUACACAGGCGCUACAGUGGCAAGGACAAUGAGUAGCAAGAGUGCAAGCUCAAGCUAAUCUCACAAACCUUGU
rnacentral:rRNA from 1 species